GCAUUGGUGGCUCGGUGGUAGAAUUCUAGCUUGCCAUGUUGGAGGCCAGGGUUCGAUUCCCAGCCAAUGCA
rnacentral:tRNA from 1 species